CGGCUCAUGGCGGCACCGUUUCUGUUGUCCAACACGUGCUCUCCUUGACGCGACAUCGACGCUUCCCCUCUACGUCACGCGGUGGCCAUGGUCGGAGCUUUGCCGCCUCCAACUUCGGCGCCCGUCUCCACUCCGUCUAGGUUAUUUCAAAAGAGGCAGUGAUUGCUACAUUCAAAAGGAAAGGUAUCUGAUCCUAAAAAAAAACAGGAACUGUAUCUGUUGAAGGGGUGAGGUUCUAAAUGUAUUGUAGCAAAUUUGGACUACUUCCUGAGUAUCAUAAACAAACGUGAUGGUCCAGAUCUAUAGAAAGUUCUGAAAGCUUAAGCUGCUUAUAAGAUAGCCCUCCUGUAAUGCCAUCUGGACAGAGUGUCAAGAAACAAUAUUAACAGGGUUGCUCCAUGCAAGGUUCCAUACCCGGAGCACAUUUAGAGAAGUUUACGGUACAUGAUUAUUUACCUGGAAUUUUUGGAGAUCAAGGCGGCGAAAUACUCUUUUUGUGAUGUGGACCAUCGUCUUUGUGGCCUGGUGAAUGAUAUAGACAUACAGAGAUUCACCCCAUGCCUGGAAGGAGACAAUUACAGUGGCUCUUUGGAGUGAAACUGCUGAAGCUUUUGAUGCAGACAAACUAAUACAAAGGUUGUGGUUGCUCUGGUUGUAGGCUGCACAUACAAAAAAAUUCUAGUCUAAAACCUUUCAGCAAGUUAUGGUAUGAGGUUUGUAUUAACACGGAUGAUCCAGAGAUCUUUGCCCUUCAUCACAGAUUGAUUUCGCCUUGGAUUAGCAUGUGGUGCUGCAUGUUUAUACGAUAUGCGUGUUAAUCAACUGUUGGCAUGACAUAUAGGCUGCAAGGUUCUCCACUGCCUAUUUAACUUGCGAGCAAGAGAGGACGGUGAUUUGAGCCCAGUGAAGUUGAUAUGGCUACUGUGCGAAUCUGUCCGACUUGUCCAGUGCGGAUUCAUGGUGAUUCUUGCAGGU